CCUCCCGGCCCCCUUCCCUCUUGUUUCCUUCUCUGGGGUCAUCUUUUACCUCCCUGCUCAUUUGUGUGGCUGUUUCCAGAAUGGUCAAGUCCACAGACCCCAGGUUCAUUCACUUGGGGUUGCACCUGUGAUGACCCUGGGCUCUUAUAGCUUGAUGAUAUCCCAUGGUCAGGACAGCAGAGUUGAGUUAUCCAUUCAUCUACAAGGACAGCUGAUCAAUUCCAAACACUGGCAGUGAUGAAAAGAGUGGCUGGGAACAUCUGGAUGGAGAUCUCCUCACUUGGAUAAACACCUAAGAGUUCCAUUACUGGGUCAUGUGCUAGGGAUACAUGUAGUCAUUUUCCCCAUGACAGUCUCACCUAUCAUAUUUUCCCCAGAAAGAGCAGAGAAACUUUCUAUUUCCCUGUGCCCCACAGCUAAGCAUGGUGCCUGGGAAGUGGCAGCAACUGCUGACUGACCACAGGUGACUUGGAAAUCUCCAGCACCAAGUUGGAGCCACUAAGAGGCUCUGAACCAGUUUCCAGCCCAUGUCUCAUGUGCCACCUUUCUUUGUACCACAGCUACACCCAAGCUACUUCAUCCAAGUGAUCAUCCUGCCUCAGCUUCCAAAGAAUCUGGAAUUGCAGCUUGGAAUUGCAC
rnacentral:lncRNA from 1 species